rnacentral:rRNA from 1 species
ACAGCUCCGAGCAGUGGAUCACUCGGCUCGCGGGUCGAUGAAGAACGCAGCCAGCUGCGAGAUUUGGUGUGAAUUGCAGAACACUCAGAUCACUGAUUAUUCGAACGCACAUUGCGGCUCCCGCUCCUCUGCGGGAGCCUCGCCUGUCUGAGGGUCGCGUGAUGCAUGCAGAGGUUCUUUCCUCGGAAGGUGACCAAACGGCCCCUUCGGAUUCGUCCGUGGGCUCAGAGAACGAUCUCUCCCGGGGAUCGACCGCAAACGUACCCCCGGGAGUAAGAUAAAGGGAUAACUAUGAUAAGAAGCGACCUCAGAUCAGACGAGAGAACCCGCCGAACUUAAGCAUAUCAGUAAGCGGAGGAAAAGAAAACAACAGUGAUUCCCCCAGUAGCGGCGAGCGAAAAGGGAAGAGCCCAGCGCCGAAUCCCUGCGUCGAGAGGCGCAAUUUGGGAAAUGUGGCGUAAGGAGUGCGCGCAGGUCCGCCGCAGGGUUCGAGGUAAGUCCCCCUGACAGGGGCUUUUCCCGUGGCGGGUGCCAGGCCCGUGUCCUCGAGCCCCGUCGGCGGUGCCGGCGCCUCCGGAGAGUCGGGUUGCUCGGGAGUGCAGCCCCAAGGCGGGAGGUAGACUCCUCCCAAGGCUAAAUACGACCGCGAGACCGAUAGCAAACAAGUACCGUGAGGGAAAGUUGCAAAGAACUUUGAAGAGAGAGUUCAAGAGACGUGAAACUGCUCGGAGGGAAACGGGUGGGCCCUCGAAGUCCCGACCUUCCGCGGAGACUCAGUCGCUGUCGAGCGACGCACUUCUCCGCGGGAUUCUAGGGAAGUCGCGGCCGGUCGCCUUCUUCUCUCCGCCUCCGGGUGAGUCCGCCGCGCACCUUAUGGAGCGUCGGCGUCCCCGGGGGCCCGAUGCAGAGAGGGCGACCCGGUGCCCGCACGGGCCAGCUCCUCCCGCCGUCCGCCUCUUCCGGGCACCUGAAGCCCGUCCGUCGCCGACGCGCCUCGUCCCUCGUGGAGGGCGGUCCUUCGGACGACUCCUCGAAGUCGGAAAUGUACUCUUGCGGGCGGAGGGAGUUGCGGUUCCGCGACGAGUAGGUCGGUCACCCACCCGACCCGUCUUGAAACACGGACCAAGGAGUCUUGCUCUCGUGCGAGUCUAAAGGUACACUACGAAGCCCAGAGGCGCAGCGAAAGCGUAGAUCGCGAUCCCUCCUCUGACUCGAGGGGGGCGCAGCGACCGCCCGUGCCCUGAAGUGGGAACGGAGCGAGAGCACGAGGGCAGGGACCCGAUAGGUGGUGAACUAUUCUCGGGCAGGACGAAGGCCGAGGAAACUCGGCUGGAGGUCCGAAGCGGUUCUGACGUGCAAAUCGAUCGUCCGACCCGAGUAUAGGGGCGAAAGACCAAUCGAACCACCUGGUAGCUGGUUCCCUCCGAAGUUUCCCUCAGGAUAGCCGUCGCUCGUCGGCAGCAGUCUCGCCGGGUAGAGAGAAUGAUUAGAGCGCCUCGGGGACGCCCGUGUCACUCGACCUCUUCUCAAACUACGAACGGACGAGAAGGGAGCCUCUCCCGAUUCGGAGGCCUCCCGAGUAAGGAUGCAGAGUGGCGCGUGGGCCACUUUUGGUAAGCAGAACUGGCGCUGCGGGAUGAACCGAACGCCGGGUUAAGGCGCCCGAUGCGGGACGCUCAGAGACCCCAUAAAAGGUGUCGGUUGCUCUAUACAGCAGGACGGUGGCCACGGAAGUCGGCAUCCGCUAAGGAGUGUGUAACAACUCACCUGCCUAAGCAACCGGUCCUGAAAAUGGAUGGCGCUCCAGCGUCGAGCCCAUACCCGGCCCUUUCUCUAACGUUUCGGAUACGGAGAAAGGAGUAGGAGGGUCGCGGCGGAGCGCGUAGAAGGUCAGGGCGUGAACCCGACUGGAGCCUCCGCCGGUGCAGAUCUUGGUGGUAGUAGCAAAUAUUCGAGUGAGAACCUCGAAGACUGAAGCACGGAGAAGGGUUCCAUGUGAACAGCAGUUGAACAUGGGUGAGUCGGUCCUGAUUCACUUCCUAAUGGAAUACUUAAGACUUCUAUUAUUUGAGAUGAGAAGUAUUGGAGAAUGGGAAAAGGGUUAAUAUUCCCUUACCCGGACACGGAGAUAGGGGCACCCGUGUCCCAAGUGCGGUAACGCAAACGAACUCGGCGACGCCGUCGGAGGACCCGGAGAAGAGUUGACUUUUCUUCGUAAGAGCUCGUGUCCCUGGAAUCUCGUCACGAGGAGAUAGGGACGCUGUUCUCGUAAGAGCACGGUCGCUGCUGCCGUGUCCGGUGCGCCUCCGCCGGCCCUUGAAAAACCGAGGGAGAGAGUGUGAUUUUCGUGCCGGUCCGUACCCAUAUCCGCAGCAGGUCUCCAAGGUGAACAGCCUCUAGUCUCUAGAACAAUGUAGGUAAGGGAAGUCGGCAAGUUCGAUCCCUAACUUCGGGAAAAGGAUUGGCUCUUGUGUUUCCGUCCUCGCGGACCUCUUUUGCCGUAUUUCUUGCGCUUCUGCCGUGGGGACUGACCGCCCUCUCCGAGGCGUGGUCGGACCCCUACGCGGACGGAGGGAAGAGGAAAGAGGGUGGCCUCGCUCCUUCGAGAGCCGGGCUUGUGCCGCGGGACAUCGUGGAAACGAACAAGAACUGGCACGGACUAGGGGAAUCCGACUGUCUAAUUAAAACAAAGCAUUGCGACGGCCGGAGAACGGUGUUGACGCAAUGUGAUUUCUGCCCAGUGCUCUGAAUGUCAAAGUGAAGAAAUUCAAUGAAGCGCGGGUAAACGCGGAAGUAACUAUGACUUUCUUAAGGUAGCCAAACGCCUCGUCAUCUAAUUAGUGACGCGCAUGAAUGGAUUAACGAGAUUCCCACUGUCCCUAUCUACUAUCUAGCGAAACCACAGCCAAGGAACGGGCUUGGCAAUUCAUCGGGGAAAGAAGACCCUUUCGAGCUUGACUGUAGUCUGACUCUGUGGCGAGGCAUUAUUGGCGUAGUCUAGGUGGGAGUCUUUUCGUGAGGCGAGUCUGUGAAAUACCACUACUUUGAUCGCCU